UAGGGAAUCUUCGGCAAUGGACGAAAGUCUGACCGAGCAACGCCGCGUGAGUGAAGAAGGUUUUCGGAUCGUAAAACUCUGUUGUUAGAGAAGAACAAGGACGUUAGUAACUGAACGUCCCCUGACGGUAUCUAACCAGAAAGCCACGGCUAACUACGUGCCAGCAGCCGCGGUAAUACGUAGGUGGCAAGCGUUGUCCGGAUUUAUUGGGCGUAAAGCGAGCGCAGGCGGUUUCUUAAGUCUGAUGUGAAAGCCCCCGGCUCAACCGGGGAGGGUCAGUGGAAACUGGGAGACUUGAGUGCAGAAGGGGAGGGUGGAAUUCCAUGUGUAGCGGUGAAAUGCGUAGAUAUAUGGAGGAACACCAGUGGCGAAGGCGGCUCUCUGGUCUGUAACUGACGAUGAGGCUCGAAAGCGUGGGGAGCAAACAGG
rnacentral:rRNA from 1 species